AGGUUCGAUCCUGGCUCAGGAUGAACGCUGGCGGCAUGCUUAACACAUGCAAUUCGAACGGGAAGUGGUGGUUCCAGUGGCGACGGGUGAGUAACCGCGUAGAACCUGCCCUUGGGAGGGGACAACACUGAAACGGUUGCUAAUACUCCCGUAGCUAGGAGUCAAAGGAGAAAUGCCGCUCCAAGGAUGGGCUCGCUUCCUGAUUAGCUCGUUGGUGAGGCAAUAGCUUACCAGGCGAUGAUCAGUAGAUGGUCCGAGAGAUGAUCAGCCACCUGACUGAACAACGGCCCGACUCCUACGGGAUGCAGCUUGGGGAAUUUUCCGCAUGGGCCGAAAUCCUGACGGAGCAUGCCGCGUGGAGUGGAAGGCCUACGGGUCGUCAAACUUCUUCUCGGAGAGAAACAAUGACGGUAUCAUCUGAGGAAUAAGCAAUCGGCUAACUCUGUGCCAGCAGCCGGGUAAGACAGAGAUGCAAGCGUUAUCCGUAAUGAUUGGGGCGUAAAGCGUCUGUAGGUGCUUUUUCAAGUCCGCGUCAAAUCCAGGCGCAACCCUGGACAGGCGGUGUAACUACCAAGCUUGAGUAACGGUGGGGCAGAGGGGAAUUUCGGUGGAGCGGUGAAUGCAUUGAGAAUCGGAAGAAACACCCAACGGGCGAGCACUCUGCUGGGCCGACACUGACACUGAAGACGAAAGCUAGGGGAGCAAAUGGAAUUAGAGACCCCAGUAGUCCUAGCGCGUAAACGAUGGUCUACAGGAGUGCUGGGCGACUCGACCCGUGCAGUGCUGUAGCUUACGCUUUAUCUCCCCGCCUGGGGAGUACGUUCGCAAAAUGAACCUCAAAGGAAUUGACGGGGGCCCUCACAAGCGUGGAGCAUGUGUUUAAUUCGAUGCAAACGAAGAACCUUACCAGGGCUUGACAUGGCCGCGAAUCUCUUUAAAGAUAGGGGUUCCUCGGAACUUGCGAACAGUGGUGCAUGGCUUCGUCGCUCGUGCCGUAAGUGUGGGGUUAAAAGUUUCGCACGAGCGCAACCCUCGUGUUAGUUUCCAAUAUGAGUUUGGAACCCUGAACAGACCGCCGGUGUUAAGUCCGGAGGAAGGGAGAGGAUGAGGCCACGUCAUCAUGCCCCUUAUGCCCUGGGCGACAAAACACUUGUCUACAAAUGGGCGGACAAAGUGUCGCGAUCUCUGCGAGGGUGACUAACUCCAACCCGUCCUCAGUUCGGAAUUGCAGGCUGCAACUCGCCGCAUGAAGCAGGAAUCGCUUAGCAAUCGCCGGUCGUCCAGUACGGCGGUGAAUCCUUCCCGGUCCUUUUACACACCGCCCGGCAACACUAUAGGGCUGGCCAGGUUUUGAAAGUCAUUACCCUUAACCGUAAGAGGGGGAUGGCCUAAGGGCUCAGCUUUGCGAUGAUUGAAGUCCGUAACGGUAGCCGUACUGGAAGGUGCGGCUG
rnacentral:rRNA from 1 species